AGUAGUUCGACUCCGUGACUACAGAACGACGCUGGCGGCAGGCUUAACACAUGCAAGUCGAACGCCCCGCAAGGGGAGUGGGCAGACGGGUGAGUAACGCGUGGGAAUCUACCCAACCCUGCGGAAUAGCUCUGGGAAACUGGAAUUAAUACCGCAUACGCCCUACGGGGGAAAGAUUUAUCGGGGAUGGAUGAGCCCGCGUUGGAUUAGCUAGUUGGUGAGGUAAAGGCCUACCAAGGCGACGAUCCAUAGCUGGUCUGAGAGGAUGAUCAGCCACAUUGGGACUGAGACACGGCCCAAACUCCUACGGGAGGCAGCAGUGGGGAAUAUUGGACAAUGGGCGCAAGCCUGAUCCAGCCAUGCCGCGUGAGUGAUGAAGGCCUUAGGGUUGUAAAGCCCUUUCACCGGUGAAGAUAAUGACGGUAACCGGAGAAGAAGCCCCGGCUAACUUCGUG
rnacentral:rRNA from 1 species